CAGAUGCAUGGAUGCAGUUAUUCAUGAAGGAAAAUCGAUUCUGGGGUGAGAAGAGCAUCACCUCAACCAAUUCCCAGAAAGCCAUCAAGAUGAGAAACAGGAAGAAUCGACCACUAACUACCAUUGAGGUCUCAACAGGUUCUGCAAGAUACGAGCCUGAGUAUAGAUCAAUUGUUUGGCGAAUUGACAGCCUUCCUCUCCUGAAUACCACAGCCCCAGCUGAUUCAACUCAUGACUUCCUCUGCCAUAUACAAACUAUGGACUCUUCUGGUUUACCUGAGGACUAUAAGCCUGCAUGUGUCAUGGAGUAUGAAGUUCCUUAUACGGUUGCAUCAGAUACGAAUGUGGUGAAUUUCAAAGUUUUAGACAAGAAAAUUAACACGAAAGAGGUGUCCUACCAUACCUAUUAUACCUAUGAUAUACAGAUGGAUAUGCGAAGCCUUAAUGGUGGGAUUCAUCAUGACAGAUGAUACCUUAUCAAGCCUGGACAAUGACUAUCAGAUGCAUCUAUUGAAAGUCGGCUUUGGUCAUGUUUUGGAUUUAUGUAUA